GAUGAAGAACGCAGUGAAAUGCGAUAAGUAAUGUGAAUUGCAGAAUUCAGUGCAUCAUCGAAUCUUUGAACGCACAUUGCGCCCCUUGGUAUUCCGAGGGGCAUGCCUGUUCGAGCGUCAUUAUAACCCCUCAAGCUCAGCUUGGUGUUGGGGCCUGCUGCACUGGCAGCCCUUAAAAUCAGUGGCGGCGCCAUCUGGCUCUAAGCGUAGUAAUUCUUCUCGCUAUGGAGUCCUGGUGGAUGCUUGCCAUCAACCCCCAAUUUUUCUAUGGUUGACCUCGGAUCAGGUAGGGAUACCCGCUGAACUUAAGCAUAUCAAUAAGCGGAGGA
rnacentral:misc_RNA from 1 species